rnacentral:rRNA from 1 species
UACCUGCAGCUCUAGUGGUGAUCGCUAUUAUUGGGCCUAAAACGUCCGUAGCCGGCUUAUUAAAUGCCUGGGUAAAUCGUGUAGCUUAACUAUACGAAUUCCGGGUAGACUGAUAGGCUUGAGACCGGGAGAAGCUAGAGGUACUCCUGGGGUAGAGGUGAAAUUCUGUAAUCCUAGGGGGACCACCAGUGGCGAAGGCGUCUAGCUAGAACGGGUCUGACGGUGAGGGACGAAGCCCUGGGGCGCAAACCGGAUUAGAUACCCGGGUAGUCCAGGGUGUAAACGCUGCUUGCUUGAUGUUAGUUGGGCUCUGAGCCCAAUUAGUGUCGGAGAGAAGUUGUUAAGCAAGCUGCCUGGGAAGUACGGUCGCAAGACUGAAACUUAAAGGAAUUGGCGGGGAGCACAGCAACGGGUGGAGCGUGCGGUUU